UCUCUUCCAGCGCACACCUUCUUCCAAUCCGCGGAUCGAUUUUCUUCUUUGUGGGAGCUUCAUUUUUGGAGCCAUUUCCACUAACGAGACUAGCACGGAGCUUGGGAGAGCAAAUGUGAGGGUGAGAUGAAGAGUUUCUAGUGGAAGGAUAGGGAUUUUUGGAGGAGUGAUACCCCAAUUUGGAAGAGACGGGUGGAAUCUAGGGCACGCUCAAUCCGCUCCAAAUAAGGGAGGAGAUGGGGAAGAACUUGAUUCCUAAGGGUCGAUUUGAGGUGUAAGGGGCGAUGGGAGAAGAGUCUAGAGGGAAAGCUUGGGUUUGGAGAAGAAAAGGAGGGGACCUAUGGCU
rnacentral:lncRNA from 1 species